UCCCCUGUGGUCUAGGCGGAAGGACGCCGGAGUUUGGUUCCGGAAGGCGAGGUUCGAGUCCUCGCGGGGGAG
rnacentral:tRNA from 1 species